UGCCUCUUGUUGCUUUACCGGGCUA
rnacentral:piRNA from 1 species